rnacentral:miRNA from 1 species
CCUCUGUGGUCUUGGGCGGUGGGAUCCCGCGUGUUGUUUUCCCGGUGGCCCGGCCGUGUCUGAGGCU